UUUUAUGGCGGUUGUGCGUGGGAGACCUUCUGGUCUGCCGGGUGCUGGUAGUGGUCCCCCGGUCUGCGAACCCGCGCACAGCUGCCACCCAU
rnacentral:antisense_RNA from 1 species